rnacentral:rRNA from 1 species
AUUGAACGCUGGCGGCAGGCCUAACACAUGCAAGUCGAGCGGAUGAAGGGAGCUUGCUCCUGGAUUCAGCGGCGGACGGGUGAGUAAUGCCUAGGAAUCUGCCUGGUAGUGGGGGAUAACGUCCGGAAACGGGCGCUAAUACCGCAUACGUCCUGAGGGAGAAAGUGGGGGAUCUUCGGACCUCACGCUAUCAGAUGAGCCUAGGUCGGAUUAGCUAGUUGGUGGGGUAAAGGCCUACCAAGGCGACGAUCCGUAACUGGUCUGAGAGGAUGAUCAGUCACACUGGAACUGAGACACGGUCCAGACUCCUACGGGAGGCCGCAGUGGGGAAUAUUGGACAAUGGGGGAAAGCCUGAUCCAGCCAUGCCGGGUGUGUGAAGAAGGUCUUCGGAUUGUAAAGCACUUUAAGUUGGGAGGAAGGGCAGUAAGUUAAUACCUUGCUGUUUUGACGUUACCAACAGAAUAAGCACCGGCUAACUUCGUG